CUCUAACACAUGUGUAUUAAUGCGAAUCCAACUACAUCCAAACAAGACCUUAUCGGUGACGACACUACCACCUUUGUGGUAAAGUACUUCUAAAAAACAUUGCAGUAAAGUACUCGCUCCGUGAAGCAAGGUAACUAAUUAAGGCCUUGUUUAGUUCCACUAAAAAAAGGUAAAAUUUUUCAAAAUUCCACGUCACAUCGAAUCUUUACACGCAUGUAUAAAGUGUUAAAUAUAGAUAAAAAUAAAAACUAAUUGCACAGU
rnacentral:lncRNA from 1 species